rnacentral:lncRNA from 1 species
GUAUCGAAGUUAUCCAAUAUAUAGAUAUUUCUUGUAAAGAUUUGGUCAACAUAAGGAUGAAAAAUUGACUAAUUUUGAAGUACUUUUAGAGUUCAAGUAGUAAGAAAAUAUAUUUGAUGGAGAUGAUUCAUGUUGUACCUUGGUAUUCAACAAGGUUUUUAACAUAUCAACUGAUUUUGAAGCCACUCCAAAAUUUAAGCUAUUUGAAAACUCUAUACAUGAAGAUUUAAUUCC